GUAUAGCUCAGUGGUAAAGUGCGUGCUUAGCAUGCACGAGGUCCUAGGUUCAAUCCCCAGUAC
rnacentral:tRNA from 1 species